UACGUAGGGUCCGAGCGUUGUCCGGAAUUAUUGGGCGUAAAGAGCUCGUAGGCGGUUUGUCGCGUCGGCUGUGAAAUCCCGAGGCUCAACCUCGGGUCUGCAGUCGAUACGGGCGGACUGGAGUUCGGCAGGGGAGACUGGAAUUCCUGGUGUAGCGGCGAAAUGCGCAGAUAUCAGGAGGAACACCGGUGGCGAAGGCGGGUCUCUGGGCCGAUACUGACGCUGAGGAGCGAAAGCGUGGGGAGCGAACAGG
rnacentral:rRNA from 1 species